UCUCUUUUUUUUUCUGUCAAAAUCCAGAAAAGUUUACUCAAUGUCCUGCCCUACAAGAUGUCCAGGUGUUUUUUUUUCUUGUUGAUGUGUUGCAAGUCAGACACUCAAACAGUGUUUCACCUUCCCACCUUUACAAACACCGCGCAUGUCCACCCCAUCGCCAGCUAAACCUGACACGCGUCUGCGCCGGGUUUUCCUCUUCUUCUUUUUUUCGCUUGCUUUUUCUGGUUUGGUUUUGUUUUAAUCAGAUGGAGGGUCUCUACUGACGAUGUCACGUCUGGGCUCACACACGCACGCACGUUCAGAAGGACAGUGGGCUGUCCGGUGUAGCAUCAUUAGCUCAGCGGAGACGUGGCGGCCCUGACACAUGUCGAGCGGCGUGCAGCCAACCCACGGACGAGCACGAGUCGCUCCUGCAUAAUUUGAAGUCAUCCAUGGCAGUGCUUUGAGGAUCCUUCCUGGCGUUCCCCAUGACUUGAACGGAGCAUCGCUCAGCGCCAUGAUGGCCCUAUUCACACUCAGAGGGUGGUGUAUGAAGCUGUGUUUGCCUGCGGCAGAUCCCCCUGGCAGUCUCUGAGAGCUGCCAUCUUCUUCUGCCAGCCCUCCAUUAGGCCUGUAAGGUGUGUCAGUCAGCGCUCGUACACAGGGGCUUAUGGGAAGACUGCAGGGAAGUGAGGAGUGAACGGUGAUUAUAUGUACUGACUACUGCAACUCUACAGUAACACACUGUCUUACCCAGGUGCGAUCAGCCGCGCUUCUAGACUGUUUACAGUGGGUGGCCGCAGUGAAGAGUGUGUGAUGUGUCAAACUAGGUUUAUAAAAUAUUUCACUGAAAGCAUAUGUCAGCAAUAAUAGUGCAGUAUAGAUGCUUAAAUGUGUCAAAUAUACAUUCUGCAAUUUUAUUUUUUUCUAAAGUGACUUACAUUCUAUUCAAGGCAUACAUUUUAGUGGUAUUUUAAUAUUAUUUAUAUAUUGUUAUUUGUGUGUGUGUGUGUGUGUGAUUUUGAUAUGCUCUUUUGUCAACUGUAUUAUUAACUGUAUUUUUAUUUCAGUUUCAGCAAUAUUAGUACCUGUACUUCAAAUUAAACUUUUUAGUCCAAUUAU